UUUCAGAAUUGAAAUAGGAACAAAUACAGCCAUUCAGGUGUGCUUGAUUCAAGUUCCAGCUUUGAUUCUCAUCAAUCUAAUAUAUCCAAUGAAUUUUGUCCUUGUAUUUAAUGAUGUUCAUCUAUGGGCUGUGAUUUUCUCUGUGAUUGUUAUCAACUAUAUCUUUCAAGAUGGGAAAAGUGAUUACUUCCAAGGUUCAGCAUUGGUGUCAAUAUAUGUGAUCCUGUUAUGUAUGUAUUUCUUCGUGCCUACUCCAGAAAGUGCCAAAUGUUGAUAUUUUUGGUGGAAUACUAGUUUAAAAAAUCUGCAUCUGGGCAACAAUCAACUAUAGAAUUCUACACAAAAAAAACCCAUGCAGUUUGUACAAUUCCGGCCUUCUUUAUCAGCCAAUGAUUUAAAAGGAGUCCACCGUUGUUCCUCAUUAAUCAAAGAAAAAAAACAACGAUGCUGCCUCUAAUAAACAACAUAUGAGCCGUGUCACGACAAAACCAACAUAAUGCGUUUGCGACCAGCAUGGAUCCAG